AUAGUGGACUAGGGUCCAGAAACAAAAAGCCCCGCUUGUACGGGGCUUUUUGUUAUCCUUUUUAUCCUGUUUUUAAUUUACUCUGGGCUGAUGGCCCUUUUUU
rnacentral:sRNA from 1 species